GUGUGGGCUCUGUACGUGGAACAGUGCUCCCUGAUUGUCUUUCUUUUACCAGGCAUCGCCUUCUUUUACCCUAUUCCAUUCCAAACACAUGAUGAGCGUGCUGUCGAGGCUACUGUGUGUAACUAGGAGGACGGUCUCAUUCUCCUUUGGCCUUACAAUUUCUUGAAGUUUAAGGAUUCAAAUAAUAGCUUAUUAUUUGCUUCAUUUGCCUCGAGCUUUCUCUAUUGUUUAUUGACAUUGAAAUCAAGAUUUAAAGCUUAGAAGUAGACAAGGAUGACUCUUUGUCAACCAUAUAAAAUGUUUGUGAUGAGGAAGAAAGAAUUCGUAGUAAUAAUAAAAAAAAUUAAAAAAAAGAAAAAACACAAUUGGGUCACUGUUCUUGACAAGACCAAACCUUUUUGUUCUUUGCUCAUUCCUCUCUUCUUUUUGCCUCUCUUUCACCCCUAUCCUCUCCAUCGCCACCCACUGACCCAGGCAUCUCCUUCGGCUCAGGAUCUUUCCCUCCUUCCCACACAAACCACGGUUCAAGAUUCAACGUGGCCAUGAAAUCAAGCUCGGGCUCUCAGACAGAUGGUUGGCUCAAACAGAAAGAAGUUGGGUUUGGGAUCAAAUACUGAUAACAUUCUAAAAUUUCUAAAGUGGAUAUCAAGAUUCAGGCGUCCCCCUCACUGGAACAAGGAUACUAGUGAAUGGAUUAGCAAAGGGAUUGAGACUAAACACAACUGUUCCUUACAGAACCUUGUUCCAGGGAAAACAGGUUGCUGGGUGUGCACAAGUACAUGAUGAUGUAUUAUCUUUUGCAACCAUUAGAGGAGCAUCACAUGGAGCUCCAUUUUCACAGCCAAAGAGGUCUAUUGUGUUGUUUAAUGCAUUCCUGGGAGGAAAGCAACUACCACAAGCCCUAUAGUUUACUGAGCAAGUUCAUAAAUAAAUUGAUUUCAUAUCAAUUUGUCAACUGUCAAAA